AAUGAACGUUGGCGGCGUGGAUUAGGCAUGCAAGUCGAGCGAGAACCGUAGCAAUACGGGGACAGCGGCGAAAGGGAGAGGAACACGUGGAUACGUACCCUCGGGUUCAGGAUAGCCAUGGGAAACUAUGGGUAAUACUGAAUAACAUCUCCGGAUCAAAGGUGUGAUUCCGCCCGGGGAGCGGUCCGCGUCCUAUUAGCUUGUUGGUGAGGUAACGGCUCACCAAGGCAAAGAUGGGUAUGGGGUGUGAGAGCAUGCCCCCACUCACUGGGACUGAGACACUGCCCAGACACCUACGGGAGGCUG
rnacentral:rRNA from 1 species